rnacentral:rRNA from 1 species
AGAACGAACGCUGGCGGCAUGCCUAAUACAUGCAAGUCGAACGAACACUUCGGUGUUAGUGGCGCACGGGUGCGUAACGCGUGGGAAUCUGCCCCUAGGUUCGGAAUAGCUCCUGGAAACGGUGGUAAUGCCGAAUGUGCCCUUCGGGGGAAAGAUUUAAUCGUCCUUUAGACGCGGCCCGCGUCUCGAUUAGCUUGUGGUGAGGUAAUGGACUCACCAAGGCUACGAUCAGUAGCUGGUCUGAGAGGAUGACCAGCCACAUUGGGACUGAGACACGGACCCAAACUCCUACGGGAGGCGAGCAGUGGGGAAUCGUUAGCGCAAGUGGGACGAAAGCCUAGACGCAGCCAAUGGCCGUCGUGUAGUGAUAGAAGGUCUUAAGGAUUUAGGUAAAAUCUUUCAACCGGU